rnacentral:lncRNA from 1 species
GGCCCUCAAAUAUGUCCACAUGGAUGAAGUCCCCAUGCCAGCCUGCUGCCUGGAAGGCCAAGGGUGCCUGCCAGCUCUGUGUGUAUCUUCUAGACGUUCCAGAACUGAUGUCAGAUUUGGCUCAUCAGAGUCCACAGACCAUAUCGGUGAAGAAGAUGAAUAGGAUUCCUGUUUAACCCAGAGACACCUAUGUUAAAUGUUUACAUACAGACUAACCCAAAUAUGCAAUUAAACCACACCACUAAAUGGCAAGAUGACCAUGGAUUUAAACAAAAUGUAUCAGGGGGAAAAGGCAACACGUUUAAACCCAUGUGAGGAGCUGGACUUCUGAGACAGCCAUUCUCCUUGCAUAGCACUGUCUGCUGCUACAGCUCAUAGAAGUCAACAAUUUUCUUCAACACUGGUAGGCAGCCUUUAAAUGGCCCUGAUCACCCUCACCUCCUGCCAUUCACACCCUUGUAAAAUUCCACCCCUGGACCUAGUGACUCACUUCUAACAAAGAGAAUACAGCAAAAGUAACAUCGCUUCUGAGGUGAGGCUACAAGGAGACUACGAUGCCUGCCUUGGUCACCCUUCUCCUGCUCUUUCCAUUGCUCCCUCUGAUGGAAGCCAGUUGCCAUGUGAUGAGGUGCCCUAUGGAGAGGCCCACGUGACAAGGUAUUGUAAAAGGCCUCUGACCAAUGGCCAUCUAGAAACGGAGGCCCAGUCCAGCAGCCUCUGAGAUGAAUCCUGCCAACCUGAUCUUGGAGACAGAUUCUCUCCCUAUCCUGCCUUGGGAUGAUCACAGCCACCACCAACACCUUCACUGCCUGGUGAGAGGCCAAGCCAGUGAACCCAAGGUAAACUGGACAGAAUCCUGACCCACAGAAACUGAGAUAAUGUUUGUUAUUUUAAGCUGCUCAGUUUGUUACAGAGCAAUAGAUAACUAACUCAAACACCAUAAAAUUCUAAUAUUUUAUUCUAUCACACAAACCAGGUAAUACCAAGUAAAUGCCAUUACUAUACAUAUAUUUUUGUAACACAAUUACAUGUGAUUUUUUAAAAAAGCUAAUGAACUAUGCAUUAUGUGCUUUCACCCACUAACAGACAUUUCUGCUGUUACUUUGUACUGUUCUCUAUUAUAAAUUGGGGGAAAACCAUUAUUAUUAUAUAUUAGCUUCAGAAUAACUAGGUUGAAGUCACAGAAAACAAUUUUGCACAAACAACUUUAGGCAACACUGCUUUGAAAACUGUAAUCUGAAUUAAAGCUGAAGCCACAGAAACCAAA